rnacentral:rRNA from 1 species
GAUGAACGCUGGCGGCGUGCUUAACACAUGCAAGUCGAACGGUGAAGCCAAGCUUGCUUGGUGGAUCAGUGGCGAACGGGUGAGUAACACGUGAGCAACCUGCCCUGGACUCUGGGAUAAGCGCUGGAAACGGCGUCUAAUACUGGAUAUGAGCCUCUAUCGCAUGGUGGGGGUUGGAAAGAUUUUUUGGUCUGGGAUGGGCUCGCGGCCUAUCAGCUUGUUGGUGAGGUAAUGGCUCACCAAGGCGUCGACGGGUAGCCGGCCUGAGAGGGAGACCGGCCACACUGGGACUGAGACACGGCCCAGACUCCUACGGGAGGCAGCAGUGGGGAAUAUUGCACAAUGGGCGGAAGCCUGAUGCAGCAACGCCGCGUGAGGGAUGACGGCCUUCGGGUUGUAAACCUCUUUUAGCAAGGAAGAAGCUUUUGUGACGGUACUUGCAGAAAAAGCGCCGGCUAACUACGUGCCAGCAGCCGCCGUAACAC